UACAGAGGGUGCAAGCGUUGUCCGGAAUCACUGGGCGUAAAGGGCGCGUAGGCGGCUUGAUAAGUCGGGGGUGAAAGCCUGUGGCUCAACCACAGAAUUGCCUUCGAUACUGUCGAGCUUGAGACCGGAAGAGGUAAGUGGAACUGCGAGUGUAGAGGUGAAAUUCGUAGAUAUUCGCAAGAACACCAGUGGCGAAGGCGGCUUACUGGUCCGGUUCUGACGCUGAGGUGCGAAAGCGUGGGGAGCAAACAGG
rnacentral:rRNA from 1 species